rnacentral:tRNA from 1 species
GCCCAGCUAGCUCGGUCAGCAGAGCAUGAGACCCUUAAUCUCAGGGUUGUGGGUUCAUGCCCCAUAUGGGCA